AUCUGAAAUAGUAGCCUAUUAGUAUGGUAAUUUUUUAUGAAACUAAAUAUAAUAUUCUGUCUUUUAUUAGAAAGAAAGAAAGAAAGAAAGAAAGAAAGAAAGAAAAAGUAAGAAAGCAUACUGUGUAAUUUCACAAGUGUGUCAUGAGGUCUGAACUUCUGAUCAUGCGCUCAUGCACAUCUCCUUAUCUAAAUGAGUUUCUGUCACAAACCUCAGUAAACAUAUCAGGCUGUCUGUUGAUAUUAAACCCAUACAGUAACUAAACAACUAGUCCCCAGCAUUAUCGCACGACUGUAAUAACAGUCAAGGGGAAUUCAUAACACAAACUCGGUGUCUGUCUUUAACAGACCCUACUGAACACUUCCCUGCUUAGUCACACACACACACACGCACACACUGUAUGAGUCUCUGCGCCUCCCAGCGUGUGUGUACGCGCACCAAUCGGCCACACACUUGACCGAGUCUCGGUCGACAAGGGCGGGGCUCCAGGUCUAUGAAACUGAAUUACCGGCAGACUAAAACUAAACUUACCCGAGCCGUUCGCUUCUCUCCGUGUGUCGUGCGUGGGAAUGUACUCGCAGCUGCGUGGGAACAAUCAUAUAAACUGCUCUACAAUGUCUUAACAUUGGAGUUUUAUUUAUCACCGAGAGCCUCAAGACUGAGAGACUUUGACACAUGCAGCUGUUUAUUAUUUUGCUCAGCUUUAACGUUGGACAAAAUGAAAUAAAUCGACAUUUCACAGGGAUCUGAAGAUUUCAGCUGUUAACAUCUUCCCCCGUCCCGAAGUGAUUGUGAAUCGAAUAAGGCUGGCAGGUCUAGGGAGAGGCAGGCAGCAUGGCUGAACCCAGACGCGACAGCACCAGCAGCCUGCAGCGCAAGAAGCCACCAUGGCUAAAACUGGACAUUCCCACCGCUCAGGUGUCCAUGGAUGAAGCUCCAGCUUUUAUUCCGCCCAUGAAGAGGCAUGGUUUCCAUCGCAGCAUCAGUAUGCCUGUGGAAACGUCUCAUCUCCCCUCUCCUCCACGUGACAUCUUUGACCCCCAUCGAGCUGCUUUCCAGCGUCAGUCUUCAAUCACCCAAACCAUCAAGAGGGGCACAGCGGACUGGUUCGGGGUCAGUAAGGACGGCGACGCCACGCAGAAAUGGCAGAGGAAGAGCCUGCGACACUGCAGCCUGCGCUACGGCAAGCUGAAACCUCAGGUGAUCCGUGAGAUGGAGCUGCCCAGCCAGGACAACAUCUCCCUGACCAGCACAGAAACCCCUCCGCCUCUAUACGUACCCUCAUCUCAGCAUGGCAUGCAGAAGAUUGUGGACCCGUUGGCACGAGGGCGUGCGUUUCGCAUGGUGGAGGAGGUAGAUGGCUACAGUGUGCCUCAAACUCCCAUGACCCCCGGCGGUGCAUCCCUCUGGUCCUUCAACAGCUCGCGCUCGGGCCUAAACCGCAUCCCACGCAGACGCAAGCGCGAGUCUGUGGCCAAGAUGAGCUUCAGGGCAGCAGCAGCUCUGGUCAAGGGUCGUUCGCUGCGUGAAGGCACGCUAAGACGAGCUCACAGGCGCAGCUUCACACCUGCUAGCUUUAUUGAGGAAGAUGUUGUGGACUUUCCAGAUGAACUCGACACAUCGUUCUUCGCCAGGGAUGCCCUGAUGCAGGAGGAGAUGUCCACCUUUCACGAUGAGGUGUUUGAGUCUCCAUCAGACUCCACCAUGAAGGACGUGGACAGCAAACAGCUGGAUGAGUCGGAGCUAACCGGCAGCCAUCUGCCUCAUAUCGACUGUACUAUCACCGGCCGGCCCUGUUGCAUCGGCACUAAAGGGAGGUGUGAAAUCACCUCGAGGGAGUACUGUGACUUCAUGAAAGGAUACUUCCAUGAGGAGGCAACCCUCUGCUCCCAAGUGCACUGUAUGGAUGAUGUUUGUGGCCUCCUUCCUUUCCUGAACCCUGAGGUCCCAGAUCAGUUCUACCGCCUCUGGCUCUCACUGUUUCUGCAUGCUGGGAUUCUGCAUUGCCUGGUGUCGGUAUGUUUUCAGAUGACAAUUCUUCGAGACCUGGAGAAGUUGGCCGGAUGGCUACGAAUAUCUAUCAUCUAUAUCCUGAGUGGCAUCACAGGAAACCUGGCUAGUGCCAUCUUCCUCCCCUACAGAGCUGAGGUGGGUCCAGCUGGCUCUCAGUUUGGCAUCCUGGCCUGUUUGUUUGUGGAGCUGAUUCAGAGCUGGCAGAUUCUGGCUCAGCCAUGGCGGGCCUUCACUAAGCUACUGUGCGUGGUGCUCUUUCUGUUUGCCUUCGGCCUGCUGCCCUGGAUCGAUAACUUCGCCCACAUCUGCGGAUUCAUCUCGGGCUUCUUCCUCUCCUUCGCCUUCCUCCCAUACAUCAGCUUCGGCCGCCUGGACAUGUACCGCAAGCGCUGCCAGAUCAUCAUCUUCCUGGUGGUGUUCGUGGGCCUGUUCGCGGGACUCGUGGUGCUUUUCUACGUGUAUCCCAUCAAGUGUGAGUGGUGCGAGCUGCUCACCUGCAUUCCUUUCACCGACAAGUUCUGUGAGAAGUACGACCUCAAUGCGCAUCUCCAUUGAGGAAGAGGCGGGGCUUCGGGGACAGAGGGAUGCAAUUAGUCGUUGAUCUGCAUCUGCCAGUUCCCUGCUCUGUCAGUGUUCAUCCAGUUGCACUUCAUCUCGCCCCAAAUGAAGCCCUUACUGUGAACUUGGACAGUAUGCUUGUGUUGUUGUUUUUUACUCAAGUGUAAGUUGGAUCUCCAACUCUUGACCAUGGUUUUAGGACUCUUGAGAAUGAAGAAUGCUUUUUAACGUACCCUAAAGUUUUAUGUAGUCUAUUGAUAAGGGUGUCUGAUAAUCAUAUGAAAACAGGGUCACCCUCGCCCGAAAACUUUCUUAACACUACAGUCUCAGAAGGCAGUGUCAUCAAAAAAGCACUGGUACACCAAAAGGAGAACACGUCUUCUAUUUGAUUGUUGUAUUUUUUAUGUUUUAGCAUGUCAGGGGUAGGUUUGUCUUUGUUUAGUCGACCUCAGAAUCCAGGGACGAAAAAAACUCAGUACCUUUGGUGCCUUGAUAAAUGUACCUACUACUGCCAUAUUUUCGUGACACAUUGAGCACUCAAAUGAUAUUCUUUUAUUUGUGUGUUACUUCUAAUGGAGUAAUGGUUGAUUAUGAAAGGGUAGUGUUUUAGCUACCCAAUUUACACAUUUGUUACAGAAUACAGCUAAAAACAACCUGCACCUCUGAAGUUUGUCUGUUUUUCUUGUCUACUAGACCUUAAACUACCACUAAAAUAUGGAAGCCCUUUUUCACCUCAGAGUAAAAAAAAUAAAUAAAUAGGGAUGUAAGGGUUAACCGCGAGC
ensembl:lncRNA